rnacentral:rRNA from 1 species
CUACGGGGUGCUGCAGUGAGGAAUAUUGCACAAUGGGGGGAACCCUGAUGCAGCAACGCCGCGUGGAGGAUGACGCAUUUCGGUGUGUAAACUCCUUUUAUAUGUCAAGAAAAUGACGGUAGCAUAUGAAUAAGCACCGGCUAACUCCGUGCCAGCAGCCGCGGUAAUACGGAGGGUGCAAGCGUUACUCGGAAUCACUGGGCGUAAAGGACGCGUAGGCGGGCUGGUAAGUCAGGUGUGAAAUCCUACAGCUUAACUGUAGAACUGCACUUGAAACUACGAGCCUAGAGUAUGGGAGGGGGAGAUGGAAUUAGUGGUGUAGGGGUAAAAUCCGUAGAUAUCACUAGGAAUACCUAAAGCGAAGGCGAUCUCCUGGAACAUAACUGACGCUAAGGCGUGAAAGCGUGGGGAGCAAACAGGAUUAGAUACCCCUGUAGUC